rnacentral:lncRNA from 1 species
UUUUUUUUUUUUUUUUUUUUUGAGACAGUCUCGCUCUGUCGCCCAGGCUGGAGUGCAGUGGGAUGAUCUCAGUUCAGUGCAACUACUGCCUCCCAGGUUGAAGCGAUUCUUUUGACUCAGCCUUCCGAGUAGCUGGGAUUACAGGCAUCUGCCAUUGUGCCCAACUAAUUUUUGCAAUUUUAGUAGAGACAAGGUCUCACCAUGUUGGCCAGGCUAGUCUCGAACUCCUGGCCUCAGGUGAUCCACCUGCCUCGGCCUCCCAAAGUGCUGGGAUUCUAGGCCCCUGCAUUACAGCCACUGCAACUGGCCACAACGUGGAAAUUUGAAUGCCCACCUAGGUGUCCACAAAGAUUUUCCAAGGAAGAGUAACUUUGGUUUUCAACCAGUCUGGGGGUGCUUCAUCAGGAUAGAAUCUUCUAGAAAACAUAGUGUGAUGAUGGACAGCAAACUGCUGUCUUCAUCUGGUUUGAUUGAGCCUAGAGUGCACCAGGGCCAAAAGAAUCUUGCCUUUUUUUGUUUGUUUGUUUUGUUUUGUUUUUUUUGAGAUGGAGUCUCACACUGUUGCAGGGGCUGGUGUACAGUUGCACAAUGUCAAGUUGCUAUACUCUCCACUUCCCAGGUUCAAGUGAUUCUCCUGCCUCAGCCUCCCAAGUAGCUAGGAUUACAGGUGCCUGCCAACACACCUAGGUAAUUUUUUUGUAUUUUUAGUAGAGACAGGGUUUCACUAUAUUGGCCAGGCUGGUCUUGAACUCCUGACCUCGUGAUCCACUCGCCUUGGACUUCCAAAGUGCUGGGAUUACAGGCAUGAGCCACAGUGCCCAGCCAAAAAUCUGUGUUUUAAACAAAGAAGGAACGAGUCUGAAAGCGGAAAUGGAAAUGGGAAAAGAUAAGGGGGCCAGGAGGAAAGAGAAGGAGAAAAGAAGGGUUGGGGUCUGAGAGGGAGCAAGAAUCCAAGCAUUUCCAGAUCCAUGGCCUGGAGUUGCAAGUGGGCAGGGCGGGGCCACUGGAGCUGUGACAGCCUUGAGGGCUGGGGUGACUCAUGCAGGGGCCCUGUGCUUCCUCCAGGCAUGUCACACCCUGGGCUCCAGGUCCCCAGUGGCACAGUUGCUGGUGCAGAGUUGGGUGUCUGCCUCCAGCUCUAUUCCUGCUACCAGGCUGGUCCGGAGUCGGUCGGGUUGGCGAGUUCCAGGCUGGACCCUAAGCAGGGGUCCUGGGCCAACAUAGGAAGUCUUGGACUGUAGGGGUGCGGGGGGUCAGGAGAAGGGGGGGCUUCUGGAAGUUUCUGAAGGUCUCCCUGGGAUUUAAUGCGGCAUUGCCAGCUGGAGCCAGCUUGGCAUGGGGAGAGAGAUGUGAGACUGAUGAAAAGUGUGCAGCCUGAUUUAAACCAAAUCCUGAGCCCUUUCCAAGAACAAUAAAGCAUAUUGUAGUGGCUAAAACAAACAAACAAACAAAGUAGCCUUUCUUGAGAGAUACAGCACCUAUCAUUUUUAAACUUUACAUUUAACAUUGUCUUUUGAAAAUAGUGUAUAUUAUUUGAUAUUUUAAAAUCCAGCCUGGGAGUUUCAGUGAUUUAUGUGAUGAGUUUAGUAAUUCACCUUUAUUGUAAUUAUUACUGUUUAGGAUUUAGGUAUGCCAUCUUUUUUGUUUGUUUAUUUUAAGAUACGGGGUCUUCCUCUGUUGUCCAGGCUGGAGUGCAGCGGCGUGGUCAUAGCUAGCUGCAGCCUCUAACUCCUGGGCUCAGGCCAUCUUACUGCCUCAGCCUCCAAGUAGCCAGGACUACAAGCAUGCGCCACCCACUGGGCUAGUUUUCUAUAUUUGUUUGUAGAGAUGGGGUCUGCCUAUAUUGCUCAGGCUGGACUUGAACUCCCGAGCUCAAGCGAUCCUCCCACCUCGGCCUCCCAAAGUGCAGGGAUUACAGGCAUGAGCCACUGUGCCCGGUCCACGUGUAUUUAUUGUGUUUUUUAUUGCUGGUAUUUCCCCCUCCAUACCUGUGCUCCAUUUAGUAUACCGAGGUUUUCUUUGGUUGGUUAAAAGUUAUAUAUUCUAGUUUUCUUCUCAGGGUGGCUGCCCUUAACCUAUGACUCAUACCAAUAUGUAUCACAUUUAUUGGUAUUAACGGUUUCAUUUUAUUCCUUAUUUUAGAAGUAUCAGCACAUUUUCCUAUUCCUUUCCCAUGCCACCUCCAGCCCCAUUUUCCUGAUAUCUUUCCUAGCUGUAAUUCUCGGUUACUCUUAGCUACACUUCCUUGUUUCUGUGAUCCUAACUUCACAUUUCCCUUGUUGUGAGAUAACAGUAAUCUGGAACAGAUUCUUUGGUCACUCAUCCUCCUCGGUUCUCUUUUGGCAUCUCCUGUGUUUCUCUUGCUAUUGAGGUACCUUCCUCUAGACUAUUUCCAACUUGGAUCUUCAGGAGGC